rnacentral:rRNA from 1 species
CCUACGGGUGGCAGCAGUGGGGACUAUUGCACAAUGGGGGAAACCCUGAUGCAGCGACGCCGCGUGAAGGAUGCAGUAUUUCGGUAUGUAAACUUCUAUCAGCAGGGAAGAAAAUGACGGUACCUGACUAAGACACGCCGGCUAACUACGUGCCAGCAGCCGCGGUAAUACGUAGGGGGCACGCGGUAUCCGGCUUUCCUGGGGGUAAAGGGAGCGUAGACUGUAGGGCAAGUCUGGGGGGAAAACCCGGGGCUCAACCCCGGGAAUGCAUUGGAAACUGCCGAACUAGAGUGUCGGAGAGGCAAGUGGAAUUCCUAGUGUAGCGGUGAAAGGCGUAGAUAUUAGGAGGAACACCAGUGGCGAAGGCGGCUUGCUGGACGAUGACUGACGUUGAGGCUCGAAAGCGUGGGGAGCAAACAGGAUUAGAUACCCUUGUAGUC